rnacentral:rRNA from 1 species
CCAAUAGCGUAUAUUAAAGUUGUUGCAGUUAAAAAGCUCGUAGUUGAAUUUCGGGAUCAAUAUGUCGGUCGUGCCAUCGGUACGUACUGGUAUCAUUGGUUUCUCCUUUCUGACGAACCAUGAUGUCAUUCAUUUGGUGUUAUGGGGAGUUAGGACUGUUACUUUGAAAAAAUUAGAGUGUUUAAAGCAGGCUUUAGCUUGAAUACAUUAGCAUGGAAUAAUGAAAUAGGACGUUCGAACCUAUUUUGUUGGUUUCUAGGAUCAACGUAAUGAUUAAUAGGGAUAGUGGGGGGCAUUAGUAUUCAAUUGUCAGAGGUGAAAUUCUUGGAUUUAUUGAAGACUAACUACUGCGAAAGCAUUUGCCAAGGAUGUUUUCAUUAAUCAAGAACGAGAGUUAGGGGAUCGAAGACGAUCAGAUACCGUCGUAGUCUUAACCAUAAACUAUGCCGACUAGGGAUCGGAUGAUGUUAAUUUUUUAAUGACUCAUUCGGCGCCCUACG